rnacentral:rRNA from 1 species
UAGGGAAUCUUCGGCAAUGGACGAAAGUCUGACCGAGCAACGCCGCGUGAGUGAAGAAGGUUUUCGGAUCGUAAAACUCUGUUGGUAGAGAAGAACGUUGGUGAGAGUGGAAAGCUCAUCAAGUGACGGUAACUACCCAGAAAGGGACGGCUAACUACGUGCCAGCAGCCGCGGUAAUACGUAGGUCCCCGAGCGUUGUCCGGAUUUAUUGGGCGUAAAGCGAGCGCAGGUGGUUUAUUAAGUCUGGUGUAAAAGGCAGUGGCUCAACCAUUGUAUGCAUUGGAAACUGGUAGACUUGAGUGCAGGAGAGGAGAGUGGAAUUCCAUGUGUAGCGGUGAAAUGCGUAGAUAUAUGGAGGAACACCGGUGGCGAAAAGCGGCUCUCUGGCCUGUAACUGACACUGAGGCUCGAAAGCGUGGGGAGCAAAACAGGAUUAGAUACCCUGGUAGUCCACGCCGUAAACGAUGAGUGCUAGAUGUAGGGAGCUAUAAGUUCUCUGUAUCGCAGCUAACGCAAUAAGCACUCCGCCUGGGGAGUACGACCGCAAGGUUGAAAC